CCCCUUGCGAAGCGGCGGCGGCUCGCCUAUGUUAAAUCUGUCUUCGCCGGGGCAACCCACGGGGACUAUGGACAUAAACGCGCAUGGAAUAAGCGGAUCGGACCCGGGGGCGGUACCCGGCGGCUCCACCAUCAUUCUCCUUCGUUUGGGGAGUGUGGGGCCGAAACAGGAUCGACGAACGUCUAAAGAUGUUUGCUUUGUCUCGGUGAGCCACCACCGUUAUCGGUGCAAAAUGUACAGUUGCAAACGACAACCGUGCUCCGGUGGCCCUUGCUGCGUAAGCAGUUCGGGUACCGAAACUAAGUCCUUGCGGGUAGCACCGUAAGGCGGGGUUCGCAGGUACCUGGCAACAGAAACCUGCACC
rnacentral:tmRNA from 1 species